rnacentral:lncRNA from 1 species
GAAACCUCUCGUCUCUCAAAACUCUCUCACACCCUCUCGAAAUCCUAGCCUAUCUCACCGUUGCCUACCUCAAGCUCACUGGAAAUCAUGGCCAUUUCGGUCAUAAUACCUUCAUACUCACCCUCUAUUACUCUUGUGUAAUCAAUAUUUGAAAAACCAAUGCCUUGACCUUGUUGGCUCCUUUUAGAUCUUCUCAGAUCUGUGGAUCUACGGCUUCUCCGGCCACUAUUCCAGCAUAUUCUAGCAAUAUGAGUCUUUUCGACUCAGGAUCGGACUUUCCUCAAAACCUUUCUCACUUCUAGGGUUUUUUCUGCAAUACAUAGCUAUUCGAGGUUUUUUUUACUUUAUUUCCUUAAAUUUAUCAUGUAUCUAUGCCCACUUGAAUUUUCAAACGAUUUCCCCAAUUUUCCUUUCAAAAAUUCCUUUUUUAGAUCUUUUUUUCUUCGAUCUAUGAUUUUCUAAAAUGUUUGAGUGAUUUAUGACCUUCAUUUUCCUUUACAUGUACUUGCUCAUACUGUGUUCUUAUGUUCUUCCUUUUACCAUGCUUUUUUAUGACUAUCUUACUGUGUUCUUUUAUAUGUGUUUUUGCUAUAAUUUUUUUCCCUGAUUUUCUUGUGUUCUUCUGUUGCAUUUUUCUACUAAGUAUGAUAAGUUCUUUAUUUGCCUUUUCUGGACUUUGUUUGAAGUUCUUUCUAGACAUGUUUCAUCUAUUGUUUUCUUAAAUUUACACUACCUCUUUGUCCUCUUAACCUUUCUCGAAAUAGAUUCUUUAUGCUUCAAAUAAGCUUUUAUGCUAUGGUUGUUUCGAACUUGCUAUUUUACAUGCUUGUUUUCUCAUGAGUCUCUGAAAGAGACUUCCGUGCCUAUUUUAGUCAUUUGCCUUCUCGUCUCUACAUCUGAUUCAAGUUGAAAACCCUAGGAUUUGGGGUUUUUGGCAAGUUUGGCCUUGUGUUUGGACUAGGGUUCUAUUAUGGGACUGGAUUCUCUCAAACUAAGUCUAAGCUCAAGUACUAAAUCUGAGCCUUUUUGUUUGUAACUUUGAACUUUUCUUUACUAGAUUCUUUCUAAUUAUCUUGACAGUUUUUUCUUGUUUGACAUGUCUGUAUGCUUUAUAUAUGAGCGAUUCUUCCUUCAAAAAGGUUUUACCAAUUUGUGAUUGAUUCAGAAUUCCUUUUAAUAAGGUUCGAUUGAUUGUUAUUGAUUUUCUUUAAUUAAACCUUUC